UACACGUGCAACCAUAAGUUUUCGCGUCCAACUUUGAUCGUUCAUCUUAUUUGAAAUUUUUUAUAAUUAGUAUUUUUUUUAUAAGAUGAUAAAAUAUGAAUAGUAAUUUACUCGUGGCUUAUGUUAUUAAAUUUUUUUAAAUAAGAUGGACGGACAAAGUUGGGCGUAGAAAACCAUGGCUGCACUUAUA
rfam:Oryza nivara chromosome 11, whole genome shotgun sequence.